rnacentral:rRNA from 1 species
AACGAACGCUGGCGGCAGGCCUAACACAUGCAAGUCGAGCGGACCUUCCGGGGUCAGUGGCGGACGGGGGAGUAACGUGUGGGAAUAUGCCCUUCUCUACGGAAUAGUCCUGGGAAACUGGGGGUAAUAUCGUAUACGCCCUUUGGGGGAAAGAUUUAUCGGGGAAGGAUUAGCCCGCGUUGGAUUAGGUAGUUGGUGGGGUAAUGGCCUACCAAGCCGACGAUCCAUAGCUGGUUUGAGAGGAUGAUCAGCCACACUGGGACUGAGACACGGCCCAGACUCCUACGGGAGGCAGCAGUGGGGAAUCUUAGACAAUGGGGGCAACCCUGAUCUAGCCAUGCCGCGUGAGUGAUGAAGGCCUUAGGGUUGUAAAGCUCUUUCAGCUGGGAAGAUAAUGACGGUACCAGCAGAAGAAGCCCCGGCUAACUCCGUG